rnacentral:ncRNA from 1 species
CCGGAGUGGACGAACCUCUGGUGUUCGGGUUGUCAUGCCAAUGGCAUUGCCCGGUAGCUAAGUUCGGAAUCGAUAACCGCUGAAAGCAUCUAAGCGGGAAGCGAGCCCUGAGAUGAGUCUUCCCUGAUACUUUAAGUAUCCUAAAGGGUUGUUCGAGACUAGAACGUUGAUAGGCAGGGUGUGUAAGCGUUGUGAGGCGUUGAGCUAACCUGUACUAAUUGCCCGUGAGGCUUAACCAU